GAUCAUCCCUUCACUACCUCUAGAAGACAGAUCUGAAGUUCCUCUUGGGGAUUCUGGUUGCUUCAUCUCUCCCUGGUUGUUAUUGCAAAAGGUGGGAGGAAUCCUUUUCGGAGAACUACAGGUAUCAAAAUUCUAGUCACAUUUCUCAGAUUCUCCUCUUCCUACCAUGGUCAGAUUUUUAUCUUCUUUUGAGUGGAAAAAAUGUCUUUACAUCAUAAUGCAUUCUUUCUUGUUUUUUCCCUUGCCUCUCAAAACUUUGGUUUAUGUAUUUGAAAGCUUUGACUGUCAAUACUUUUACCGCUGAUAGAGACUUUUAAGGGCAUUUUCAAAUUUAAAGCUUGAAUUUGACUUUUGCAUUUUAGCUGAAUCGACUGCUCUCCACAGGAUAGUCUAUAAAGUUAUUACUGCUAGUAGAAUGACAAUAAAGGCAAUGGAAAGUGGAGAGGGUAAUGGGUGCAAGAGAAGAGCAAUGGGAAAUGACCCUACAUAAUAGCUCAAAGUUUUAUACUGUUACACAGUCCUCAGCAUCUUUCUGUCAUCUGUUCAUUCCUGUUAACAUGGAUAUAGUCGUUGGGAAAGGGAAAGGAGAAAAGCAAUUCUUCACAGAUGGAUUUACGAUGGAAAAAUUAAGGAAGUUUGAAAUGAAUUGAAAUCUGAACCAGGAGCAGUUGAUACUUCCUCCUGCUGUAGACACUCAUUCACUCAACAUAUAUUUACUCAACAUUUAUGGAGUGCCAGUCACUAUUGACAAGCCACUGAAUGGAAAAGAAGAUAAUUUAUGAAGAACAUCUUCAGCAGAGUCUACGGAAAGUGGCAGCCACAAGGCAACUUGGGGUGAUGUCCCCGUGGUCACUACUGCCACGUGUUGUGAUGGGCUUUGGUAUUAGAAGGUUUUCAGGUCUCUCAGAUGAGUGGUUUAAUAUCAAGCCAGCAAUCACGGUGCAAGAUAAAGGACUGGGAGAUACACAAUUUCCUUCAAGAUGGGUCUCCAAGACCUUAUUGGAUUGGUGUGAUAUCCAGAAUACAAGCUCUCCAGCAGAAGCUGUUCCUUCCCAAACCUGGUGGGAAGUCCCUGAGCCACACUUAAAAGAGAUGCAGCAGCCAGAUCCCAGAGUCAACAAGAACUUAUUGGAAGACCAAGAAGAGUUGCUUCUGAGGUAAAAAAAAAAAAAAAAAAAAGACUAAUGCAAAGAGUGAAAAAUGAAUUUUUUAUAUUUUACACUGACCACAACACAUGGUUGAGAAAAUUUGAAUAACUCUAGCUAAAUUUUGAAAGGUGCUUCAAAGCAUAUAAAGGGCUUUCACAUGUAUUUUCUCAUGUGAUUCCUGUAAACUUGGAAAAUAGUGGGUACUCCAUUUCAGAAAUGAGAAAAUGAAGGCCCAGAGAAGUGAAGCAGCAUGCACAGGCCACACAGUUCACAGGGGACUGGGCUGAGACCAAAACCUGACUGCAGGUUGCACACUUUUAACUCUCACCAACAACAGAGACAAAAGAGGGUUGGCCACCCAAGUAUUUAUCAUGAUGCAUUUUGGAACUCCAGGCUGAAAAACAAACAAACAAAAACCCCUACUAAAGAUUAAAACAUCUCUAAUUCAAACACCCAGAAAAUAUAGCAAUUAAUUUUUCCUUCGAGGAGGCAAAUACAGAUGGGCACCUGGCUGCUUUCACAUGGUGUUAACACUCACGUCUGACUGGCCUCAUGAUCUCCUGGAUCUUCCUAAGCCAAGGCGCUGGGGCGCUAUUUAAUCAGGUUGGAAGUCCCGGAAUUUAGCUAUUCUCCAUCUCUGUUCCUGCAGACUGCUGAUUUAAACAUGUGAAGCCACUGAUUAUCUAACAGUUAAGGAGAAGUGAAUCCAAGGUUCAAUGACACAGAGAUGAGAGGCCAGGACAACACCUGAGCCUAUGACUGGCAAUUAAUUAGACAGAUAGCAUCUUACAUUUGGAAAGGACCUUAUAGGCCUAAUCCAAUCUCCCUCCUGGUAUGGGAUUCCUUCCACAGCAAGCCUGACAAAUUUGCUCCCGGAAUAGGGAUUUUCACUUGUCUUGAGGCAACCAUUCUACUACUGUAAGAUGGGCUCUUGUUGUUAGAACGUUAAGUCUACCUUUCUGACCUAGUUCUGCCCUUUGGUGCCUUAACAAAUAUGGCUACCUGUGCAUUCCCAUGUUAUUUUCCCCAUAUUUGAAGUCAACUCUCUUAGCUUUCUUAAAAUCUCCUCUCUAGCAAAGCAUACGCAGCGCCUCCAACUCUCCAUACCCACUGAUCUUCAGGCCUCUCUCCAGAUGGUGUCUCGUUUGGACAUUGUUUUUUUCCUUUUUUAGUGAAAUGCCCAUCGCUGAAUUGGGUCUGUUUUUCCUGCUUAAGCUGACCCAAUGUUAACACAUUUUCAGUGCUUUUACUGGUCAUAAGCUCCACACUAGUGGGGCUAUAUAUAUGGUGGUUAGUGAUAAGAUCAGCUCCCUCGGCUCUGUAACCCACUGGAGUUUACCAAAUGAGAACUGGUUUGCUUCAUGUAAUUUACCUCAGAAGCCACAUCACCAGCAAGAGGACCAUUAAUUGUCAAUGUGCAGGCCACAACUAAUUUGUCACUUGGAACCAGUUUUUGCUUCAAUAAACUUUUUGUCUAUCUAGUAUUGCAUCUCUUAAAAUACAGAGAAAAAACAGGUAGGAGACUAGUUUACCAGCAACUUUGACAAAUGGCCCCUGAAGGAGACUAGUGACAUUUGGAAAGUUGGUGAAAGCUGCUAGAGUCAAAGCAACUUCUUAAAAAAAAAAAAAAAUUGUGGCUAUGCUCUGCUCAACCAGGCCACACCUGUUUUGAGAAACCACCAAGCGUUCUGCAGAUAAACAGAGAUGCCAGGCCUGACAGUCUCUAAGGCAACAAGAUACCGAUCAUCAUUGUACAUGUAAGAGAUGGAAAAAGACACUGGUGACAAACAUUAAGCCUGGUUUUUUCAUCUACCCAAUGGUGUAGCAGCAGUUGGAGUAAACCCUGCCUCAAAAGCUCAUCUCACAUCCAGUCUCCAGCCCCAAACUCUAAUUGUAGUGGAGGGCAGCCUGCAUUUGGAAAAAUACCUGAGAGAUCUGGACCCCACCCCUUAAGCAGUAAUCCUGUGGCCUAAUGUGGACUUCCAAAUGGGCUUCUGGGGAAAGAAGACAAUUUGUAGCCCCUGUGUUCCCACUCCUCACCUGCAAAGUGAAAUGAAAUGUUUACGUGGCUUGAAUUCAUGAGAGUGUACACUCGGGGAUAAGCCAGUGAACUUGGAUGACACAAAGAGAUAACUUAUCUAGCUUGGCUUCCUAGCGAAUGGCUUGGAUUUUAAUUAGGAAAUCACCAUCAAAAUGCAACCACUUUCCUGCUUUCAGGGAAUUUAGAUCUAUCAAAGAUGUAUAACAUCGCACUUUCCCAUUUGUUGUUAUCUCCAACUUGUGAUAUUUUAACAGGAAUAAAGCAAGUGAGCAUUUAGUAAGAAGAUGGAAGAGGUAUAGGAUGGAUCCAGGAGUUGGAGUGGGAGCUUGUCUACUGCUUGUGAAAUUAUUGCAUUGGGGUGACUUACGUCUGUGUUUUCUCGAUCCCUAGACUUUGAGCUGCUCUGUCUUGUUCAUUGGUGCAUUCCCACUCUUCCUGGUGUCAUGUUCUGUACCUUGUUGAUACUCAAAAACUAUUUAUUGAAUUGAAUCACUGUGUUGAUUUGAGGAGAUAUUGCUCAAAGACACUGUGGAUAAAGCAAAAUCUCAGCUCAGGACGUGGGAAAACAUACUGCAAAGAUGGACUAAUUAAUGACUUAAUGAACCUUGAAAAAACAAAAAAGAAUCAUAAAUGCCAAUGACAAGUAUUAGUUUAUGGAAGCCUAAUUAUAAAUAAUAACAGAAGAAAUAACUUAAAUGAUCCAGCUGGUCAGAUAGCAGCCAUCUUUAUUAAAAGGCCUGGUCAGGAUAAGAAAUGUUAAAUAGAAAUGAGUGUGUG
ensembl:lncRNA